GCUGUAGUCAGCUCGUGCUGUAAGGUGUUGGGUUAAGUCCCGCAACAAGCGCAACCCUCGUGUUUAGUUGCCACCGUUGAGUUUGGAACCCUGAGCAGACUGCCCGUGAUAAGCCGGAGGAAGGUGAGGAUGACGUCAAGUC
rnacentral:rRNA from 1 species